UCCGGCUUGUCACCGGCAGUCCCCAUAGAGUGCCCGGCAUGACCCGAUGGCAACUAGGGGCGAGGGUUGCGCUCGUUGCGGGACUUAACCCAACAUCUCACGACACGAGCUGACGACAGCCAUGCAGCACCUGUGCGACAGGCCCCUUGCGGGGAAGGCCAAUCUCUCGGCCGGUCCUGCCCAUGUCAAGGGCUGGUAAGGUUCUGCGCGUUGCGUCGAAUUAAACCACACGCUCCACCGCUUGUGCGGGCCCCCGUCAAUUCUUUGAGUUUCAACCUUGCGGCCGUACUCCCCAGGCGGUGCGCUUAUCGCGUUAGCUUCGACACUGAGUGGCUAGGCCACCCAACAUCAAGCGCACAUCGUUUACGGCGUGGACUAC
rnacentral:misc_RNA from 1 species